rnacentral:misc_RNA from 1 species
ACUUUGUCCUUGUUUUUCACCUUACUAUCCAUUUUUGUAGACAUUUUAUGAUUCUCAAACUCCAUAAUUGAACUUUUCUCCAUCUUUACAAUAUUCUCCAAAGUCGACCAAACUUCGCUCGGCUGCUCGUGAACCCAGCACAUGAUGAAAAAGAUCUUCCUGUCAGCGUGUUUAAGCUUAGUACCAAUGUCUGACCAUCUAGAUUUUCUACUCCUAUUUCCUGAUUUCAGAUCUCUCUCACCAGCUUGAAUAAGCCUCUGCAAGUCACAGAGCAAGCACACUAAUGCAG